AGAGUUUGAUCCUGGCUCAGGAUGAACGCUAGCUACAGGCUUAACACAUGCAAGUCGAGGGGCAGCAUGGUCUUAGCUUGCUAAGACUGAUGGCGACCGGCGCACGGGUGAGUAACACGUAUCCAACCUGCCGUCUACUCUUGGACAGCCUUCUGAAAGGAAGAUUAAUACAAGAUGGCAUCAUGAGUCCGCAUGUUCACAUGAUUAAAGGUAUUCCGGUAGACGAUGGGGAUGCGUUCCAUUAGAUAGUAGGCGGGGUAACGGCCCACCUAGUCUUCGAUGGAUAGGGGUUCUGAGAGGAAGGUCCCCCACAUUGGAACUGAGACACGGUCCAAACUCCUACGGGAGGCAGCAGUGAGGAAUAUUGGUCAAUGGGCGAGAGCCUGAACCAGCCAAGUAGCGUGAAGGAUGACUGCCCUAUGGGUUGUAAACUCCUUUUAUAAAGGAAUAAAGUCGGGUAUGCAUACCCGUUUGCAUGUACUUUAUGAAUAAGGAUCGGCUAACUCCGUGCCAGCAGCCGCGGUAAUACGGAGGAUCCGAGCGUUAUCCGGAUUUAUUGGGUUUAAAGGGAGCGUAGAUGGAUGUUUAAGUCAGUUGUGAAAGUUUGCGGCUCAACCGUAAAAUUGCAGUUGAUACUGGAUAUCUUGAGUGCAGUUGAGGCAGGCGGAAUUCGUGGUAUAGCGGUGAAAUGCUUAGAUAUCACGAAGAACUCCGAUUGCGAAGGCAGCCUGCUAAGCUGCAACUGACAUUGAGGCUCGAAAGUGUGGGUAUCAAACAGGAUUAGAUACCCUGGUAGUCCACACGGUAAACGAUGGAUACUCGCUGUUUGCGAUAUACGGCAAGCGGCCAAGCGAAAGCGUUAAGUAUUCCACCUGGGGAGUACGCCGGCAACGGUGAAACUCAAAGGAAUUGACGGGGGCCCGCACAAGCGGAGGAACAUGUGGUUUAAUUCGAUGAUACGCGAGGAACCUUACCCGGGCUUAAAUUGCAGAUGAAUUACGGUGAAAGCCGUAAGCCGCAAGGCAUCUGUGAAGGUGCUGCAUGGUUGUCGUCAGCUCGUGCCGUGAGGUGUCGGCUUAAGUGCCAUAACGAGCGCAACCCUUGUUGUCAGUUACUAACAGGUUCUGCUGAGGACUCUGACAAGACUGCCAUCGUAAGAUGUGAGGAAGGUGGGGAUGACGUCAAAUCAGCACGGCCCUUACGUCCGGGGCUACACACGUGUUACAAUGGGGGGUACAGAGGGCCGCUACCACGCGAGUGGAUGCCAAUCCCCAAAACCUCUCUCAGUUCGGACUGGAGUCUGCAACCCGACUCCACGAAGCUGGAUUCGCUAGUAAUCGCGCAUCAGCCACGGCGCGGUGAAUACGUUCCCGGGCCUUGUACACACCGCCCGUCAAGCCAUGGGAGCCGGGGGUACCUGAAGUGCGUAACCGCGAGGAGCGCCCUAGGGUAAAACUGGUGACUGGGGCUAAGUCGUAACAAGGUA
rnacentral:rRNA from 1 species